CAGGCUUAACACAUGCAAGUCGAGGGGCAGCAUGGUCUUAGCUUGCUAAGGCCGAUGGCGACCGGCGCACUGGUGAGUAACGCGUAUCCAACCUGCCUUACACUCUUGGACAGCCUUCUGAAAGGGAGAUUAAUACAAGAUGUUAUCAUGAGUAAGCAUUUUCGCAUGAUUAAAGGUUUACCGGUGUAAGAUGGGGAUGCGUUCCAUUAGAUAGUAGGCGGGGUAACGGCCCACCUAGUCUUCGAUGGAUAGGGGUUCUGAGAGGAAGGUCCCCCACAUUGGAACUGAGACACGGUCCAAACUCCUACGGGAGGCAACAGUGAGGAAUAUUGGUCAAUGGACGAGAGUCUGAACCAGCCAAGUAGCGUGAAGGAUGAAGGUUCUAUGGAUUGUAAACUUCUUUUAUACGGGAAUAAACGAAUCCACGCGUGGAUUUUUGCAUGUACCGUAUGAAUAAGGAUCGGCUAACUCCGUGCCAGCAGCCGCGGUAAUACGGAGGAUCCGAGCGUUAUCCGGAUUUAUUGGGUUUAAAGGGAGCGUAGAUGGGUUGUUAAGUCAGUUGUGAAAGUUUGCGGCUCAACCGUAAAAUUGCAAUUGAUACUGGCAGUCUUGAGUACAGUUGAGGUAGGCGGAAUUCGUGGUGUAGCGGUGAAAUGCUUAGAUAUCACGAAGAACUCCGAUUGCGAAGGCAGCUUACUAACCUGUAACUGACAUUGAUGCUCGAAAGUGUGGGUAUCAAACAGGAUUAGAUACCCUGGUAGUCCACACGGUAAACGAUGAAUACUCGCUGUAGGCGAUAUACAGUCUGCGGCCAAGCGAAAGCAUUAAGUAUUCCACCUGGGGAGUACGCCGGCAACGGUGAAACUCAAAGGAAUUGACGGGGGCCCGCACAAGCGGAGGAACAUGUGGUUUAAUUCGAUGAUACGCGAGGAACCUUACCCGGGCUUAAAUUGCAACCGAAUAUGGCGGAAACGCUAUAGCUAGCAAUAGCGGUUGUGAAGGUGCUGCAUGGUUGUCGUCAGUUCGUGCCGUGAGGUGUCGGCUUAAGCGCCAUAACGAGCGCAACCCUUGCCGAUAGUUACUAACAGGUCAUGCUGAGGACUCUGUCGGGACUGCCAUCGUAAGAUGUGAGGAAGGUGGGGAUGACGUCAAAUCAGCACGGCCCUUACGUCCGGGGCUACACACGUGUUACAAUGGGGGGUACAGAGGGCUGCUACCACGCAAGUGGAUGCCAAUCCCAAAAACCUCUCUCAGUUCGGAUUGAAGUCUGCAACCCGACUUCAUGAAGCUGGAUUCGCUAGUAAUCGCGCAUCAGCCACGGCGCGGUGAAUACGUUCCCGGGCCUUGUACACACCGCCCGUCAAGCCAUGGGAGCCGGGGGUACCUGAAGUGCGUAACCGCAAGGAGCGCCCUAGGGUAAAACUGGUGACUGGGGC
rnacentral:rRNA from 1 species